rnacentral:rRNA from 1 species
GUGCCAGCAGCCGCGGUAAUUCCAGCUCCAAUAGCGUAUAUUAAAGUUGUUGUGGUUAAAAAGCUCGUAGUUGAACCUUGGGCCUGGCUGGCCGGUCCGCCUCACCGCGUGCACUGGUCCGGCCGGGCCUUUCCCUCUGUGGAACCCCAUACCCUUCACUGGGCGUGGCGGGGAAACAGGACAUUUACUUUGAAAAAAUUAGAGUGCUCCAGGCAGGCCUAUGCUCGAAUACAUUAGCAUGGAAUAAUAAAAUAGGACGCGCGGUUCUAUUUUGUUGGUUUAUAGGACCGCCGUAAUGAUUAAUAGGGACAGUCGGGGGCAUCAGUAUUCAACUGUCAGAGGUGAAAUUCUUGGAUCAGUUGAAGACUAACUACUGCGAAAGCAUUUGCCAAGGAUGUUUUCAUUAAUCAGGAACGAAAGUUAGGGGAUCGAAGACGAUCAGAUACCGUCGUAGUCUUAACCAUAAACUAUGCCGACUAGGGAUCGGACGGUGUUAUUCAUGACCCGUUCGGCACCUUACGAGAAAUCAAAGUGCUUGGGCUCCAGGGGGAGUAUGGUCGCAAGGCUGAAACUUAAAGAAAUUGACGGAAGGGCACCACCAGGGGUGGAGCCUGCGGCUUAAUUUGACUCAACACGGGGAAACUCACCAGGUCCAGACACAAUAAGGAUUGACAGAUUGAGAGCUCUUUCUUGAUUUUGUGGGUGGUGUGCAUGGCCGUCUAGUUGGUGGGGUGACUUGUCUGCUAUGCGUACGAACGAGACCUUAACCUGCUAAUAGCCCGCAUUGCUCCGGCAGUGCGCUGGCUUCUUA